GACGUAGGGCGCGAGCGUUGUCCGGAUUUAUUGGGCGUAAAGAGCUCGUAGGCGGCUUGUCGCGUCGUCCGUGAAAACCUGCAGCUCAACUGCAGGCUUGCGGUCGAUACGGGCAGGCUAGAGUUCGGUAGGGGAGACUGGAAUUCCUGGUGUAGCGGUGAAAUGCGCAGAUAUCAGGAGGAACACCAAUGGCGAAGGCAGUAGACUGGGCAUCUCCUGACGCUGAGGCGCGAAAGCGUGGGUAGCAAACAGG
rnacentral:rRNA from 1 species